rnacentral:rRNA from 1 species
AGCAGCCGCGGUAAUUCCAGCUCCAAUAGCGUAUAUUAAAGUUGUUGCAGUUAAAAAGCUCGUAGUUGAAUUUCGGGAUCAAUAUGUCGGUCGUGCCUUCGGUACGUACUGGUAUCAUUGGUUUCUCCUUUCUGACGAACCAUGAUGUCAUUAAUUUGGUGUUAUGGGGAGUUAGGACUGUUACUUUGAAAAAAUUAGAGUGUUUAAAGCAGGCUUUAGCUUGAAUACAUUAGCAUGGAAUAAUGAAAUAGGACGUUCGAACCUAUUUUGUUGGUUUCUAGGAUCAACGUAAUGAUUAAUAGGGAUAGUUGGGGGCAUUAGUAUUCAAUUGUCAGAGGUGAAAUUCUUGGAUUUAUUGAAGACUAACUACUGCGAAAGCAUUUGCCAAGGAUGUUUUCAUUAAUCAAGAACGAAAGUUAGGGGAUCGAAGACGAUCAGAUACCGUCGUAGUCUUAACCAUAAACUAUGCCGACUAGGGAUCGGAUGAUGUUAAUUUUUUAAUGACUCA